UACGUAGGUGACAAGCGUUAUCCGGAUUUACUGGGCGUAAAGGGCGUGUAGGCGGUCUUGCAAGUCAGAAGUGAAAUUCCUGAGCUCAACUCGGGCGCUGCUUCUGAAACUGCAGGACUUGAGUGCUGGAGGGGAUAGCGGAAUUCCUAGUGGAGCGGUAAAAUGCGCAGAUAUUAGGAAGAACACCGGUGGCGAAGGCGGCUAUCUGGACAGUAACUGACGCUGAGGCGCGAAAGCGUGGGGAG
rnacentral:rRNA from 1 species